GAUGAACGCUGGCGGCGUGCUUAACACAUGCAAGUCGAACGGAAAGGCUCCUGCUUGCCGGGGUACUCGAGUGGCGAACGGGUGAGUAACACGUGGGUGAUCUGCCCUGCACUUCGGGAUAAGCCUGGGAAACUGGGUCUAAUACCGGAUAGGACCACAUUUUGGAUGGUGUGGUGGAAAGUUUUUCGGUGUGGGAUGAGCUCGCGGCCUAUCAGCUUGUUGGUGGGGUAAUGGCCUACCAAGGCGUCGACGGGUAGCCGGCCUGAGAGGGUGUACGGCCACAUUGGGACUGAGAUACGGCCCAGACUCCUACGGGAGGCAGCAGUGGGGAAUAUUGCACAAUGGGCGCAAGCCUGAUGCAGCGACGCCGCGUGGGGGAUGACGGCCUUCGGGUUGUAAACUCCUUUCGCUAGGGACGAAGCGCAAGUGACGGUACCUGGAGAAGAAGCACCGGCUAACUACGG
rnacentral:rRNA from 1 species